UUUAGUUUUUUUGCACUCCGUUAAUGGUCCCUUCGCAAACCCGGAAGUGUGACGUAGGCAACAGAAGACUACUCACAGCUAACAUAGCAGCAACAACGAUGUCAGUGAUAUUUCCACCAAAGGUAACCAUUCAGGAUCGCUCUUUCGUGACGCUACCGAUGGCAAAGGCUCCCAGGAAAGAUGAACUACAAUUAAUCCCUACAUGUUUGAACCUGAGGCGUCAGAUGACGGCGAUUUACUUGACACAGCAGAUGGCGUCAUGACGCCAAUUGACAGCUCGACACUUCACGAACGGGAGAGUGAGUGGUGUUGCUGUAAACCGUCAAGUAAUUACCCUUCCAAGAGUAUGCCUGUGUCAUCAGGAGAUCCCAGACGUGAGAGCCAAACUUGCGGAGGCUGAAGCACUGACAGGGGCAUGAAUUUCAUUAAAAAAAUAAAACCAUAAAUUGUUAACAACA